rnacentral:rRNA from 1 species
UACGAAGGGGGCUAGCGUUGCUCGGAAUUACUGGGCGUAAAGAGCUCGUAGGUGGUUUGUCGCGUUGUCCGUGAAAACUCACAACUCAAUUGUGGGCGUGCGGGCGAUACGGGCAGACUGGAGUACUGCAGGGGAGACUGGAAUUCCUGGUGUAGCGGUGGAAUGCGCAGAUAUCAGGAGGAACACCGGUGGCGAAGGCGGGUCUCUGGGCAGUAACUGACGCUGAGGAGCGAAAGCGUGGGGAGCGAACAGG